rnacentral:rRNA from 1 species
UACGUAGGGGGCAAGCGUUAUCCGGAUUUACUGGGUGUAAAGGGAGCGUAGACGGCUUUGCAAGCCAGAUGUGAAAGCCCGGGGCUCAACCUCGGGACUGCAUUUGGAACUGUAUGGCUGGAGUGUCGGAGGGGCAGGCGGAAUUCCUAGUGUAGCGGUGAAAUGCGUAGAUAUUAGGAGGAACACCGGUGGCGAAGGCGGCCUGCUGGACGAUGACUGACGUUGAGGCUCGAAAGCGUGGGGAGCAAACAGG